rnacentral:rRNA from 1 species
CCCUUAGAUGUCCUGGGCCGCACGCGCGUUACACUGAUGCAUUCAACGAGCUUAUAGCCUUGGCCGAGAGGCCUGGGCAAUCUUGUUAACGUGCGUCGUGAUAGGGAUAGAUUAUUGAAAUUAUUAAUCUUGAACGAGGAAUUCCUAGUAAACGCAGAUCAUCAAUCUGCAUUGAUUACGUCCCUGCCCUUUGUACACACCGCCCGUCGCACCUACCGAUUGGAUGGUCCGGUGAAGCCUCGGGAUUGUGGUUCUUGCCGCUUUAUUGUGGCGUGACCGCGAGAACUUGUCUAAACCUUAUCAUCUAGAGGAAGGUGAAGUCGUAACA